rnacentral:rRNA from 1 species
UACGGGGGGGGCAAGCGUUGUUCGGAAUUACUGGGCGUAAAGGGCUCGUAGGCGGCCAACUAAGUCGGACGUGAAAUCCCUCGGCUCAACCGGGGAACUGCGUCCGAUACUGGAUGGCUUGAGUUCGGGAGAGGGAUGCGGAAUUCCAGGUGUAGCGGUGAAAUGCGUAGAUAUCUGGAGGAACACCGGUGGCGAAGGCGGCAUCCUGGACCGAUACUGACGCUGAGGAGCGAAAGCCAGGGGAGCAAACGGG